rnacentral:tRNA from 1 species
UGUAGCACAGUGGUAGAGCAUUUGUCUAGCAAGCAUGAGGUCCUGGGUUCGAUCCCAGUA